rnacentral:rRNA from 1 species
UACGUAGGGACCAAGCGUUGUUCGGAUUUACUGGGGCGUAAAGGCGCGUAGGCGGCCACCGCAAGUCGACUGUGAAAUCUCCCGGGCUUAACCCGAAAGGUCAGCCGAUACUGCGGGGCUAGAGUGCGGAAGGGGCUACUGGAAUUCUCGGUGUAGCGGUGAAAUGCGUAGAUAUCGAGAGGAACACCUGCGGCGAAGGCGGGUAGCUGGGCCGACACUGACGCUGAUGAGCGAAAGCGUGGGGAGCAAACAGG